rnacentral:rRNA from 1 species
CCCUUAGAUGUUCUGGGCCGCACGCGUGCUACACUGAGUGGAUCAGCGGGUCAGGUUGCGCGAAAGUGUUUCCUAAUCUUGAAAUCCGCUCGUGAUGGGGAUUGACGGUCGCAAUUUUCCGUCAUGAACGAGGAAUACCUUGUAAGCGCGGGUCAUCAUCCCGCGCUGAAUACGUCCCUGCCCUUUGUGCACACCGCCCGUCGCUCCUACCGAUUGAGUGGUCCGGUGAGGCUUUGGGAUCUGAGCGGAAAGAGCGUUUCGCUGUUUCUGCUCGGAAAACUCAGUCGAACCUUAUCAUUUAGAGGAAGGAGAAGUCGUAACA